GCCGAAGUGGCGGAACUGGCAGACGCGCAUGGUUGAGGGCCAUGUGUCCGCGAGGACGUGCGAGUUCGAGUCUCGCCUUCGGCACCA
rnacentral:tRNA from 1 species